AUUUUGGUGGCUGAAUUUUAGGUGGUAGAUUGUAAAUCUAUUUAUGGCUCUUAGAGUCCCAUAUA
rnacentral:tRNA from 1 species